UCUCUCCAGCAGAAGUUUUUUCCUCAUGUUCUCUUUUGAGCAACUAUUAGAAGAAAACAUUUGGCAAUUUAUCUCAUGUAUAUUCAAUGUCUUCUCUAUCUGGGAUUCGAGAAGGUUGUGAAACGUGACACUAUGUCUGUCAGCAGAUUUACAGACGCUUAUUUCUAAUGCUUCAGAGGUUGUUCGGUCCAAAGGUGGAAAGGAGGGAAAUUCAAAUGAACGAACAUGGAAAACAUUGAAAAGGACAAAGAACGUGUUUCUUUCCUGAAUGGUGAAGAAGCUGAACAUUAACAAUGUAUUCUGCCUUUUUUGAGCAGAAGAACAAGGUCAUUUUAGGCAUCUAGAAAUUGCAUCCACAAAUAAA